rnacentral:RNase_P_RNA from 1 species
UGAGUAUCGGAUGUGGUCGCUGCCAGCGUAGGGAAACCGGCUGGGAGAGGAAAGUCCGGGCUUCACAGAGCAGGAUGCCUGCUAACGGCAGGUUGCGGUGACGCACAGGAAAGUGUAACAGAGAGUAGACCGCCGGCUUUGGCCGGUAAGGGUGCAAGGGCAGUGUAAGAGACUACCGCC